CCUACGGGUGGCAGCAGUGGGGAAUAUUGCACAAUGGGGGAAACCCUGAUGCAGCGACGCCGCGUGAGCGAGGAAGUAUUUCGGUAUGUAAAGCUCUAUCAGCAGGGACGAAAAAAGACGGUACCUGACUAAGAAGCCCCGGCUAACUACGUGCCAGCAGCCGCGGUAAUACGUAGGGGGCAAGCGUUAUCCGGAUUUACUGGGUGUAAAGGGAGCGUAGACGGCAAGGCAAGCCAGAAGUGAAAGGGCAGGGCUCAACCCUGUACAUGCUUUUGGAACUGUGGUGCUAGAGUGCAGGAGAGGUAAGUGGAAUGCCAUGUGUAGCGGUAAAAUGCGUAGAUAUAUGGAGGAACACCAGUGGCGAAGGCGGUCGCCUGGCCUGUAACUGACGCUGAGGCACGAAAGCGUGGGGAGCAAAUAGGAUUAGAUACCCUAGUAGUC
rnacentral:rRNA from 1 species